rnacentral:rRNA from 1 species
UGGGGAAUAUUGCACAAUGGGCGCAAGCCUGAUGCAGCCAUGCCGCGUGUGUGAAGAAGGCCUUCGGGUUGUAAAGCACUUUCAGCGAGGAGGAAGGUGGUGAACUUAAUACGUUCAUCAAUUGACGUUACUCGCAGAAGAAGCACCGGCUAACUCCGUGCCAGCAGCCGCGGUAAUACGGAGGGUGCAAGCGUUAAUCGGAAUUACUGGGCGUAAAGCGCACGCAGGCGGUUUGUUAAGUCAGAUGUGAAAUCCCCGGGCUCAACCUGGGAACUGCAUUUGAAACUGGCAAGCUAGAGUCUCGUAGAGGGGGGUAGAAUUCCAGGUGUAGCGGUGAAAUGCGUAGAGAUCUGGAGGAAUACCGGUGGCGAAGGCGGCCCCCUGGACGAAGACUGACGCUCAGGUGCGAAAGCGUGGGGAGCAAACAGGGUUAGAUACCCUGGUAGUCCAGCGCUGUAAACGAUGUCGAUUUUGGAGGUUGUGCCCUUGAGGCGUGGCUUCCGGAGCUAACGCGUUAAAUCGACCGCCUGGGGAGUACGGCCGCAAGGUUAAAACUCAAAUGAAUUGACGGGGUCAUAGCUG